CCUACGGGUGGCAGCAGUGAGGAAUAUUGGUCAAUGGACGAGAGUCUGAACCAGCCAAGUCGCGUGAGGGAGGACUGCACAGAGGGUUGUAAACUUCUUUUGUAUGGGAAUAAAACAGGGUAUGCAUACCCUCUUGUAUGUACCAUAUGAAUAAGCAUCGGCUAACUCCGUGCCAGCAGCCGCGGUAAUACGGAGGAUUCGAGCGUUAUCCGGAUUUAUUGGGUUUAAAGGGAGCGUAGGUGGAUUGUUAAGUCAGUGGGGAAAGUUUGCGGCUCAACCGUAAAAUUGCAGUUGAAACUGGCAGUCUCGAGUACAGGAGAGGUGGGCGGAAUUCGCGGUGUAGCGGUGAAAUGCUUAGAUAUCACGAAGAACUCCGAUUGCGAAGGCAGCUUACUGGCCUGAAACUGACACUGAUGCUCGAAAGUGUGGGUAUCAAACAGGAUUAGAUACCCCUGUAGUC
rnacentral:rRNA from 1 species